rnacentral:tRNA from 1 species
UGGCCGGUGAUGGGCGUCGGCGCGCCGGUCAGCGGGUCGAAGCCGCCGCGGGUCUUCGGGAAGGCGAUGACCUCGCGGAUCGAGUCCGCGCCGGCCAGC